GUAUUGAAAGCUUCGGCAGCACAUAUACUAAAAUUGGAAUGAUACAGAGAAGAUUAGCAUGGCCCGUGUGCAAGGAAACAUAUAUCAAGAGCAAUAAUUGAGAGGCUAUU